UUCUUCGUCGAGACGAGUAGUUUGGAAAUGCUGCUCAAAAUGGGGAUUCUACGUCUUCUAAAGCUGAAUAUUGUUCAGAGACCGAUAGCGCACAAGUAGAGUGAUCGAAAGAUGAAAAGCACUUUGAAAAGAGAGUUAAACAGUACGUGAAAUUGUUGAAAGGGAAGCGCUUGUGACCAGACUUGGGCUUGGCGGAUCAUCCGGCGUUCUCGCCGGUGCACUCCGCCUCGCCCAGGCAAGCGUCAGUUCGCCGCGGGGGAAAAAGGCUUCGGGAACGUGGCUCCUCCGGGAGUGUUAUAGCCCGUUGCGUAAUACCCUGCGGUGGACUGAGGACCGCGCUUCUUGCAGGGAUGCUGGCGUAAUGUUCAUCAGUGACCCGUCUUGAAACACGGACUUUGGAGUCGUCUUCUUAUGCUAGUGUCCGGGUGUCAAACCCCUACGGGUAAUGAAAGUAAAUUUAGGUGAAACCUACGGCUCCCCCCCCAUCUGAUCCUGAUGUCCCAAGAUUUUUAUUU
rnacentral:rRNA from 1 species